GCUUCGGGGCAGGGCCAUGGUGAACCUUUCGAGGAUGAGGACGUGGGUGUGGUCACCCAAGAGGUUGCUGAUGAUAUGACCGUGGGGAGGUACCAGGCUCGGCCUGCAUACGAGUUGAAUCCUAGGACGGGAAUCAACAAGCACACACCUGAAGACUUCACCCAAAGAGGCCAAAGAGGCAAAAGGACGGUCGGCACCUCGCGGAUGGCGGCUUUGGAUUACUAUUUGGAUGACUAUGUAGAUGACGUGGAUGAACCGGAGCCGGAGCCGGUUCCUCUUCCUAGGAAGGUGAAGAAGAUAAGCGCCAAGAGGGGGGGAGGAGCCAGCAAGCGUGGAAAGCACUAGUCAUCGUCAAUUUUUUUAUAAUGUUGAACUUAGAGUGGAAUUUGUUAUGUCGUUGAUCUUGGAGUGGUCGUACCUAUUAGUAAUGUGGAAUUUGUUAUGUCGUUGAA